rnacentral:rRNA from 1 species
AAUAGAUACCCCGGGUAGUCCACGCCGUAAACGAUGGAUACUAGCUGUUGGGCGCAAGUUCAGUGGCUAAGCGAAAGUGAUAAGUAUCCCACCUGGGGAGUACGAACGCAAGUUUGAAACUCAAAGGAAUUGAACGGGGGGCCCGCACGAAGCGGUGGAGCAUGUGGUUUAAUUCGAUGAUACGCGAGGAACCUUACCAAGGCUUAAAUGCAGACUGACCGGUUUGGAAACAGACCUUUCGCAAGACGGUCUACAAGGUGCUGCAUGGUUGUCGUCAGCUCGUGCCGUGAGGUGUCAGGUUAAGUCCUAUAACGAGCGCAACCCCUGUUGUUAGUUGCCAGCGAGUCAUGUCGGGAACUCUAGCAAGACUGCCAGUGCAAACUGUGAGGAAGGUGGGGAUGACGUCAAAUCAUCACGGCCCUUACGCCCUUGGGCUACACACGUGCUACAAUGGCCGGUACAGAGAGCAGCCACCCCGCGAGGGGGGAGCGAAUCUAUAAAACGCCGGUCACAGUUCGGAUCGGAGUCUGCAACUCGACC